GGACUGAAUCUAAGGCCUCCUGCGUGGGCAUUCCCAAUGAAGUAUAUCCCCUGUUCUGUUUUUAAGUUGCCCAGCUGAGCCUUAAAUACACUCUGUAGUCCAGGCUGGACUGGAACUUCUAAUCCUUCUGCCUCAGCCUCCCAGGUAGCUAGGAUUAUAGGCCUGCAGUUGCAGGACCACCUUCCUCAGUACUCUGAAAAGCAGUUUCUAACCAAUAUUCCACAUUCAUGAGAUUUUCCUUGUAAAACCUUAUACCACUUAACUUUCACACUCUUAAAAAAAAAAAAAAAAAAAAAAAAAACUGGCUAAUGAAAUUCAAAGACUUAAAAAAAUUCCACACAGGUAAUAAGGAAAGUGUUCUGAGGUUGUAGGUUGAGGUGUCCUUCACCAGGUAAAUGUGACCUGUUAGAUUGUAGUCGCAAUGUUUCUGCUUGAGAGAUUUCAUUUUCAUUCUCCUGAGAUAUUGUGCCAUAGCUCAUGUCUUUACUGAAGAUAAGACACCCUUUCCUUUUGGUUAGCAGCAUGUUCCUCCAGGAUGAAAAUCCAGGGCAGCUGAAGACUUGUUUUCAAAUGUCGUCUAACCGGCUUAACUAGUGGUAGGAGUUUUAUCUAUGUGGUGUGAGGCAGUUACAAAAAUUCAUAAAUGCCUCAUUCUAUAUAAUGGUACUUUAAGCAGUGUUUGAAAUCUUUCAAACACUUGUCCUUCAGUAGGAAAACAAAACUUAUCUCAAGGUUCUUAUCAAUUUGUAAAGCUAAAGUAUUUUUUACUAUGUAAAUCAUUGAUUUGCCUAUUUUAUUAACUUAAUAUUUUCAAAUUCCUUUGAAGCAAUAAUAUUUACUCAAUUUUGUUUAAGUAAUACAUUAAAAUGAAUCAGAUUGUUCCUGUUAUAUUUUUUAUAGGAGAAAAUGAAAAUAUAUGAGUUACACAGUCAAAAAAUGAAAAUGAGAGUCAUGUUACGGUGCUAAGAAAACUUCAGGAGAAAAACACAGCCAUCUAAGUGUGCUCAGCUUCAGCAUAGGACACCUGCUUUGGAUUCUCAGCCUCUCCAAUGUCAGGGAGAGACUGCCAUAAUUGACUUUGAUCCCCCUGAAACUGUGAGCCCAAAAAUGAGUCCUUUCUUCCAUAAACUGGUUUUGAUCAUUGUGUUUUAUCACAGCAACCGCUAAAUACAGAAGUUGGUGCUAGAGUGGGCUGAAGCUGUGUAGCACUUGACUGUGUUGCUUUGAAGAGGAAGGUGGAAGACUGUGGAGAUCUGGCCUGGAGCAGCAUCUGGAUACUUUCGGCAGAACUGAAAAGGCAACCCUAAAGGAAGCCUGAAAGAUAACCACACUGAGAGCAAUGAGGACUGUGGAGACCCAGAGCAGAAGGUUUCAGAGAGGAACACUAUCAGCCAUUGGGCUCCAAGCCCUUGUGAUAUUUGGGCAAAGAAUCUAAUGGCCCUAGGCUUUGAUCCUAAGAACUUACCUAAGGGGAAAUUUUUAAAGUAACAGAAUAAUUUCUAUAGUGGAAUAAAAUUUCAAGACCACAUAACAUUGAGUCUGUGGCAUCGUUUUUAUUGAUAAUGCUUCGGAUCUAUGAUGGAAAAGAGACAGAAAUUAAAAAUGGACAUUUUGGUGAGAUAAGGAGCAUUGGGAAUCUUACUGCCCACAUUGAAAUGGAGGCUAUAAUUGCUCAGGAGUCAAGCACCAUUAAGGAGAGACCUGCUCUACACUGGAAUGUGGUUAACACUCCGCCCAGCUAAGCCUCUAGAUUCUGAAAGGAAAAAGACUAAGAGGUGGCUAGCCAAACUUAGCAGGUAUCUCAAUAUGAUGUUAUCUUAGAUGCAUGAAGGAGACCAAGCCCGGUUCAUAGACUCUUCUUCCUGGGUCUCAGGGAGCUGCUGGGGCCAAGAAAUGUGUGGAAGAGGGGUCACUACAUGAAGGCUUUGAGAAGGCAAGAGGCUCUAAGAAAGCAUUGCAGGAAACUGUGAAAGUAAAGCUCUUGCAGUAAAGAUCCCAAAUUUUUGGUGAUUCAGCAGCCACGGCUUACCUGCUGUGACAAGUUACGCUUUAAUUACUGUGCCUAGAGAGAUCCAUGAAACAAACAAACAAAAAAUAUCUCCCUUCCCUAGGGACAGAUACUUCAAAAAUGCUGGAGGCUCUUGUUUAAGAAAGAUAACAAGCCACAUGUUUUCGAACUCAUAAACAAGUUUGUUUGCCCCAACUGCACUGGCUGUCUCUAUCACCAGUAGGCAGAGGUAAGGAAACAGGAAACAUGUCAAGAUAUAUGCUUGUCCUUCGUUGUAUGCUUGUCCUUCAUUGGAUAUUGAUUGGCCUUGUGGGGUUGCCUUUUUAAGCCUCUGCAAGAUGUGAUUCAUCACCAAUUUCUGGGAACCUGGGAGUGAACCGGGUCAGAGUCCAUCCUCCUGGCCAGCAUCUAAUUAAUGAUUGCUUCAAAUUUGACUCAAAGAUUGUGGUAGUGGUCUUAUUCCCAACUGGUGAGAUUAACACUGCCAAAGAGAACUGCAUACAGGGGCAGAACCAGCCCAGGAGACAUAUGUACGUCGCAGGCAGCAAAGGUGGGGGAGUGGAGGUAUCUAAGCCCCUCGACAUCAGAUGUGAAACUACAGAUUUGGUCUUGGCCCUGUUGAGUUCUGAUCUUACUUUGGCAUAGCAUUCCCAUUUAGAAGGUUUGUGGGUAUUAUAUUCUGGGGUAUUACACAUUGAACAUAUGUGAAUUGUGUUUUGAUCUUACAGUGGUUACAAUUAAGAGAGUUCCUUGAGCCUCAGAAGAGACUUUGGACUUUUGAGUUUUACAGAAUAUUGAGGCUGUGAGAAACAAUGAGGAGUUUUGAAAUCAGAUUAAAGAAAUCUUGCAUUAAGAUACAGUUAUGAGCUUAUGGAAGCUGGGGAGUGCAAUGUAGUGUUUUAAAUAAGAAAUGUUUCCAUUAACCUGGGAAUUAGAGCACAUGGGUCCUCAGUAGGUAGCUUUGUUUCAGAGAGGUUUAGAAGGUAUGGUCUUGUUGGAGGACGUGUGUACUGGUAACAAGAGUUGGGAAUAUAUCCUGUCUACUUCCAGUAUGCUGGCUGUCUGCUUUGUGCUUCUGGUUAAGAUAUGAUAACUCAGUUUCCUGUUCCUACUGCCAUCCCUGCUACUGGUCACGCAUCUCCACUGUGAUGGAAUCUUAUACCUCUGGUACCACAUGCAAAGGUAAACACUUCCUUCUACAAAUUGCCUUGGUACUCAGCUAUCUAGUGCACUCAACGCCAUCAUAGAACACCUGCUUUGGUGCCCUGUGUGGAGUCCUGGCUGUCCUGGAACAUGCUCUGUAGACCCACCUGCUUCUGAAUCCCAAGUUCUGGGAUUACAGGUGUGCACCACCACUGCCUGGUGUGCCUUUGGAAUUUUAUAGGAUGAACUCACAUAGUUUCAGAACCAAGUGUCGGCAGCAAACCAACAAAACCGCAUGUGAGCGCUGUGACUUAUACUUGGUCAUAAAGAUAGAAACUGACAGAACGCCGUUCUGGAUGCUAGAGAGCCUAAGAUCUAAGUGACAGCUGAUUCUGGGCUUCGCAUUCCCAUGUGGCAAACUGCAGCCUAACUUAAGAAUACAUUCUCAUAACAAAUAGCUGAAUGUCAGCCAGUCUCAGCAGCUGUAGGUCAGCCAAACAUAGGCUCACCAGGCUAUUUCCCUAUGAUGCAAAUAGCUUGUCACACCAUGCUCACAAAAGGCAAAGCUUAGCUGUGAUUAAUCAAGGGACUUAUUUUUUUCCUUUGUCUUUCUACAAUUAAUGUCUGCCUACACUAGGGUGUAGGGCUCUCUGAUCCUCUGAACCACUAGGGACUCACUAAUGAAUCUUGUUCAAAUAAACUUCUGAGUUUAAUUUAAUUUUUUUCUUAUAACAAGUUUCUUAUGUAGGCUUGUUUAUUCUCUUUAUAUCCUUAUAGCAGAAAGUUAUGUCAUAUCUUUUAUAUGGGCAAUAAUUUCAUUUCAUAGGAACUCCACCCUAAUGUCAUAAUCACUUUCGAAAAGCCCCACACCCACAUAUUAUUACAUUUGUGAUUAGGAUUCAACUAAUGAGGUGACCAAGGAUAGGAAGUGCAUAUUUAGACCAUGGCUAGUAUUUCAUCUUUGCUCACACACCAGGAAACAUCAGGCAGGAUUUAAAUUCUGUACUUUAUAUUCAUCUUUCUUACCCUUAGACCCCUCUUCCUGAGAUAUCUUUGAAUUUCACACUAGUUCUCCAGUUUGACAAAACCUGCAUUAUUUCUGGGUUUCUAUUUCAGUUUUGUUCAUAUAGAUGAUUGUGAAUCCCCCCGCCCCCAAAUAAACACUGCUCCUCUAUUAC
ensembl:processed_transcript Oxct1as cDNA Sequence BC037032